rnacentral:tRNA from 1 species
UCCCUGGUGGUCCAGUGGCUCGGACUCCAAGCUCCCAAUGCAGGGGACCUGGGUUCAAUCCCUAGUCAGGGAA